GGUUUCCGUAGGUGAACCUGCGGAAGGAUCAUUGUCGAACCCUGCAAGGCAGAAUGACCUGUGAACAUGUAAAUACAACUUUGUGAUGGGGAGAUGGUCUUUGGACCUGAUCCUCAACACCUCCCAACGUGUGUGUGCGUGGUGUCUCGUUUGGGCCACCAUGGAUGUCUCGUUGGACUAUAACAAAUCCCGGCACGGAAUGUGCCAAGGAAAACAAAAAAAGAGGAGGACUCGUCUUGUUAAUGCCCCGUUUGCGGUGUGCUUACAGUACAUGGCCUUCUAAAAAACACAAACGACUCUCGGCAACGGAUAUCUCGGCUCACGCAUCGAUGAAGAACGUAGCAAAAUGCGAUACUUGGUGUGAAUUGCAGAAUCCCGUGAACCAUCGAGUUUUUGAACGCAAGUUGCGCCCAAAGCCAUCCGGCUAAGGGCACGCCUGCCUGGGCGUCACGCCUCGCGUCGCCCCCCAACAUACUUCCCUAACGGGUAUUGUUGGUGUUUUUGGGGCGGAGAUUGGCCUCCUGUGCUUAUUGCGCGGUUGGCCUAAAUAGAAGUCCCCUUUGGUGGAUACACGGCUAGUGGUGGUUGUACAGACCCUCGUCUUGUGCCGUGUGUCCUUAGCCUAUAGGGCAACCCUUAUCUAAGACCCCACUGUAUCGUCUUUAGACGAUGCUUCGACCGCGACCCCAGGUCAGGCAGGACUACCCGCUGAGUUU
rnacentral:rRNA from 1 species